rnacentral:rRNA from 1 species
GACGAAGGAUGCAAGCGUUAUCCGGAUUCAUUGGGUUUAAAGGGAGCGUAGGUGGUCUUAUAAGUCAGUGGUGAAAUCUCUGGGCUUAACCCAGAAAUUGCCAUUGAUGCUGUAGGACUUGAGUAUAGUUGCCGUUGGCGGAAUAUGACAUGUAGUGGUGAAAUACAUAGAGAUGUCAUAGAACACCGAUUGCGAAGGCAGCUAACGAAACUAUAACUGACACUGAGGCUCGAAAGUGUGGGGAUCAAACAGG